rnacentral:rRNA from 1 species
AUUGAACGCUGGCGGCAGGCCUAACACAUGCAAGUCGAGCGGAUGAAGGGAGCUUGCUCCUGGAUUCAGCGGCGGACGGGUGAGUAAUUCCUAGGAAUCUGCCUGGGAGUGGGGGAUAACGUCCGGGAACGGGCGCUAAUACCGCAUACGUCCUGAGGGAGAAAGUGGGGGAUCUUCGGACCUCACGCUAUCAGAUGAGCCUAGGUCGGAUUAGCUAGUCGGUGGGGUAAAGGCCUACCAAGGCGACGAUCCGUAACUGGUCUGAGAGGAUGAUCAGUCACACUGGAACUGAGACACGGUCCAGACUCCUACGGGAGGCAGCAGUGGGGAAUAUUGGACAAUGGGCGAAAGCCUGAUCCAGCCAUGCCGCGUGUGUGAAGAAGGUCUUCGGAUUGUAAAGCACUUUAAGUUGGGAGGAAGGGCAGUAAGUUAAUACCUUGCUGUUUUGACGUUACCAACAGAAUAAGCACCGGCUAACUUCGUG